AUUGAACGCCGGCGGCAGGCUUAACACAUGCAAGUCGAGCGGGGUGAUGGUGCUUGCACUAUCACUUAGCGGCGGACGGGUGAGUAAUGCUUAGGAAUCUGCCUAUUAGUGGGGGACAACAUCUCGAAAGGGAUGCUAAUACCGCAUACGUCCUACGGGAGAAAGCAGGGGAUCACUUGUGACCUUGCGCUAAUAGAUGAGCCUAAGUCGGAUUAGCUAGUUGGUGGGGUAAAGGCCUACCAAGGCGACGAUCUGUAGCGGGUCUGAGAGGAUGAGCCGCCACACUGGGACUGGGACACGGCCCAGACUCCUACGGGAGGCAGCAGUGGGGAAUAUUGGACAAUGGGGGGAACCCUGAUCCAGCCAUGCCGCGUGUGUGAAGAAGGCCUUAUGGUUGUAAAGCACUUUAAGCGAGGAGGAGGCUCUUUUGGUUAAUACCCAAGAUGAGUGGACGUUACUCGCAGAAUAAGCACCGGCUAACUCUGUGCCAGCCGCCGCCGUAA
rnacentral:rRNA from 1 species